UCAAAAGUCAAGUCGGUGGCUGAUAAAGCCGCCGUCUACACCCAUGUCUUUUGUGUACUCUUGUUUCCCUCGGGUGGCGUAAGCUGCCGAUUGGACAAACCAAAACCUUUUUGUUAAUUGCAAUCAGCGUCCUGAAAAAUAGUAAUAAUAUUUA
rnacentral:misc_RNA from 1 species